AGAAGAAAAGCGCCUAUACCUAGCAAAAUUAAGUGAAUACCCAAAAUUGUGGUCAUUUUAUUUCUAUCUUUCCA
rnacentral:antisense_RNA from 1 species